GUCUUCGUAGUGUAGUGGUCAGCCCGUUGGGCGCUUAUUCCAGAGGUCCGUGGUUCGAGUCCCGGCGAAGGCG
rnacentral:tRNA from 1 species